rnacentral:rRNA from 1 species
CCAACAGGGAUUGCCUUAGUAGCGGCGAGUGAAGCGGCAAGAGCUCAAAUUUGAAAUCUGGUACCUUCGGUGCCCGAGUUGUAAUUUGAAGAAAGCUAUCUUGGAUUUGGCCUUUGUCUAUGUUCCUUGGAACAGGACGUCACAGAGGGUGAGAAUCCCGUGCGAUGAGGUGUCCAUUUCUAUGUAAGAUGUUUUCGAAGAGUCGAGUUGUUUGGGAAUGCAGCUCUAAGUGGGUGGUAAAUUCCAUCUAAAGCUAAAUAUUGGCGAGAGACCGAUAGCGAACAAGUACAGUGAUGGAAAGAUGAAAAGAACUUUGAAAAGAGAGUGAAAAAGUACGUGAAAUUGUUGAAAGGGAAGGGUAUUAGAUCAGACUUGGUAUUUAGUUAUCAUUACUCCUUGUGGGUGGUGCUCUAACUUUUUACUGGGCCAGCAUCAGUUUUGAUGGCAGGAUAAUGACAUUUGAACGUGGCUCUUCGGAGUGUUAUAGCUUUUGUUGAUACUGCCUAUUGGGACUGAGGUCUGCGGCUUUUGCCUAGGAUGCUGGCGUAAUGAUCCAAUACCGCCCGU